rnacentral:rRNA from 1 species
ACGUAGGUAACCUACCCUCAGGACUGAGAUAACCCCGGGAAACUGGGGCUAAUAUUAGAUAGAUAAAAGAUACUGGAAUGUUCUUUUAUCCAAAGCUUUUGCGCCUGAGGAUGGGCCUGCGUCCGAUUAGGUUGUUGGUGGGGUAAUGGCCCACCAAGCCUACGAUCGGUACGGGCAGUGAGAGCUGAAGCCCGGAGUUGGGGACUGAGACAAGGCCCCAGGCCCUACGGGGCGCAGCAGGCGCGAAACCUCUGCAAUGCGGGAAACCGUGACAGGGGGAUCCCAAGUGCUCAUGCAUUGCAUGGGCUGUUCUUUGGUCUAAGUAACCAGAGGAGUAAGGGCUGGGCAAGACCGGUGCCAGCCGCCGCGGUAAUACCGGCAGCUCAAGUGGUAGCCGCGAUUAUUGGGCCUAAAGCGUUCGUAGCCGGAUAAGUAAGUCUUUGGUUAAAUCCUGCGACUUAACCGUGGGAAAUCUAGAGAUACUGCUUGUCUUGAGACCGGGAGAGGUUGGAGGUACUCCCAGGGUAGGGGUGAAAUCCUGUAAUCCUGGGGGGACCACCUGUGGCGAAGGCGUCCAACUGGAACGGGUCUGACGGUGAGGGACGAAACCUAGGGGAGCGAGCCGGAUUAGAUACCCGGGUAGUCCUAGGCGUAAAUGAUG